rnacentral:tRNA from 2 species
UGGGGAUGUAGCUCAGUUGGGAGAGCACCUGCCUUGCAAGCAGGGGGUCGAGAGUUCGAAUCUCUUCAUCUCCAUC